UACGGAGGGAGCUAGCGUUAUUCGGAAUUACUGGGCGUAAAGCGCACGUAGGCGGCUUUGUAAGUAAGAGGUGAAAGCCUGGAGCUCAACUCCAGAACUGCCUUUUAGACUGCAUCGCUUGAAUCCAGGAGAGGUGAGUGGAAUUCCGAGUGUAGAGGUAGAAAUUCGUAGAUAUUCGGAAGAACACCAGUGGCGAAGGCGGCUCACUGGACUGGUAUUGACGCUGAGGUGCGAAAGCGUGGGGAGCAAACAGG
rnacentral:rRNA from 1 species